UACGUAGGGCGCAAGCGUUAUCCGGAAUUAUUGGGCGUAAAGAGCUCGUAGGCGGUUUGUCGCGUCUGCUGUGAAAACCUAAGGCUCAACCUUGGGCUUGCAGUGGGUACGGGCAGACUAGAGUGCGGUAGGGGUGACUGGAAUUCCUGGUGUAGCGGUGGAAUGCGCAGAUAUCAGGAGGAACACCGAUGGCGAAGGCAGGUCACUGGGCCGCAACUG
rnacentral:rRNA from 1 species